rnacentral:rRNA from 1 species
GUUGAACGCUGGCGGCAGGCCUAACACAUGCAAGUCGAGCGGAUGAAGGGAGCUUGCUCCUGGAUUCAGCGGCGGACGGGUGAGUAAUGCCUAGGAAUCUGCCUGGUAGUGGGGGAUAACGUCCGGAAACGGGCGCUAAUACCGCCUACGUCCUGCGGGAGCAAGUGGGGGAUCUUCGGACCUCACGCUAUCAGAUGAGCCUAGGCCGGAUUAGCUAGUUGGUUGGGUAAAGGCCUACUAAGGCGACGAUCCGUAACUGGUCUGAGAGGAUGAUCAGUCACACUGGAACUGAGACACGGUCCAGACUCCUACGGGAGGCAGCAGUGGGGAAUAUUGGACAAUGGGCGAAAGCCUGAUCCAGCCAUGCCGCGUGUGUGAAGAAGGUCUUCGGAUUGUAAAGCACUUUAAGUUGGGAGGAAGGGCAGUAAGUUAAUACCUUGCUGUUUUGACGUUACCAACAGAAUAAGCACCGGCUAACUUCGUG